GCUCUUGACAUUGGAGAUCUAGCUAGACUGUGUGUUUCCAAGCCUUAGUGUGAGAUCUUAAGUAUUAAAAACUGGAGAUCAUUUUCGAAUCUCCAUUUUGUGACUCUCAUAACAGAGAAUAAGCACUGAAACUCCAUUCUUCUCUUACAAAUUCCACCAACGAGCGACAAAUCAGGAUUCUAUUUCAGUUGAAAAGGAGGUUACCAUCAGCAAGAGCAUUUUAGCUUGUCCUAUUUGUUAUCAACCAUUCACAUGGACUGGUAAUCUAGGUUUAUCAAUGUGCAUGACCUUUUGACCCUAUACAAUGAAAUUGAUGCCCCUCCAAAGUGUUUGUUAUUUAAAAUUCCUUCAACUUGGCAAGGAAUAGAGGCCUCAAGGUUGCUGGAAUCUGAGGGCAUAUAGACACAUUUGACUUUUGUUUACAG